rnacentral:rRNA from 1 species
GAUGAACGCUGGCGGCGUGCCUAAUACAUGCAAGUCGAGCGGACCAAAGAGAGCUUGCUCUCUGAGGUUAGCGGCGGACGGGUGAGUAACACGUGGGUAACCUGCCUGUAAGACGGGGAUAACUUCGGGAAACCGAAGCUAAUACCCGAUGAUAAAGAGAAACGCCUGUUUCUUUUUUGAAAGUCGGCCUUGUGCUGACGCUUACAGAUGGGCCCGCGGCGCAUUAGCUAGUUGGUGAGGUAACGGCUCACCAAGGCGACGAUGCGUAGCCGACCUGAGAGGGUGAUCGGCCACACUGGGACUGAGACACGGCCCAGACUCCUACGGGAGGCAGCAGUAGGGAAUCUUCGGCAAUGGACGAAAGUCAGACCGAGCAACGCCGCGUGAGCGAUGAAGGCCUUCGGGUCGUAAAGCUCUGUUGUCAGAGAAGAACAAGUACCGGAGUAACUGCCGGUACCUUGACGGUACCUGACCAGAAAGCCACGGCUAACUACGUGCCAGCAGCCGCAGUAA